rnacentral:ncRNA from 2 species
GAUGUCGUAUCACCCAGGACGUCCGA